GUUCUUAACCGAACAGAAAUACUCCCCAGUUCCCCCCUCAACUCCCCUGUAACCCUGUUUCUUCGAUGAUGAUUAUUAAAACGAAAAAAAAAUAAUCAAUAUUUCGGAACUGCCUAUAAAGAGAAGACAAUCUUUCAAAUUUGAAGUAAGGAUAUGCAUCGAUUUCUUCUAAGAAUUCAUCGAUUUGGCUCAAAUUAUAUCUCCCCAAGUUGGUAAGAAAUUUGAUUACUUGUUCCUCUGAUUUCCUGGUGCGAAUGUCAUGUGUUUUGAGUUUUUUUUUAGAUCUAAAGUUUGAUUUUAAUUUAUAAAAUUCCAGUUAAAACCUGGUAUCCAUGUCUUUCUAGGAUAGUCAAUUACUACUUUUGGUUAUUCCUUCAGAAUAAUUUUGCUUCCAGUAAGUAUCUGGAUGUGUAUUAAGGCCUCCAUUCUUAUGAAUCCAGUUGUUUGAUGGCAAGUUGUUGGCUUAAUCAUAAAGAAUUUAUGUAAGUGUUUUUCUGUCUGAUAUCUCUCUACAAAUGAAGAAAAAACCAUGGCUUUUUUUUUAAGAGUCAUGGCAAAAUCUCUUCUUGUGUAUUAGUAUUCACUCUUCCUUUACUUCAUCUACGCAUCUUAUAUUCCUACGAAAAUAUCAUCUUCUUUUCACCAAAUUUAGAUCUAUAUAUGUUUAUACAAAGAGAUCUAAAAGAAACUGAUCAUGUAGUUCUUUUGUUCAAGAGUAUUUUUUUCCCUUAAUUAGUUGGUUCAAUUAUGAAAGGAAAGUGCACUAGUACUGUGUUGUACGUCUUGUUCAUUUUUCAUAAUUUUGUGUCCUCCUAAGAAGAUAAAGAUUAGCAGCACCGAAUAUAUUUCUGUUUGGUUUUGAGUUUUGGUUGGUAAUUAAUAUCACAAGUUCAGAUCUAAGAAAAUUUUGGUUUUUCUUGAACAUGUUUAAAGUUGAGGGAUCAGUUUUUUCAUUCGUAUACUAGAUUGCAGUUCCUGAAAUCAUAUUGAUAUUGUGUUAGUUUUAUUGCAGACUUCUAUCGUGAUUAGUGAAACAAGAUUAACUGGUCAUUAGGAUUUAGGAUUUAUUUGCUUCUAGUUGAUUAAUUCCGUUGAAGUAAUACCGAUUCUCUGCUUUUCACUUGGUUUUGUGGAUGUGGAAUGAAGAAACUCCAAUAUCCAAGAUAUUUGGAGUGACUGCAAGUUACAAUGUCUUGGUGGUUGAAAUAGUUGUUUUCUAGUGAUUGAGCUUGAUUAGUACUAUAAUUCCAUGUAUUAAGUCAGAUUGCUUAUGAAGACAAAAUGUACCUAUGCACUACUUUGAUCAAUAUUGUUUACUUCGUACACUGUUGUAUAUACACAACCAUAAUAAAUAUCAUUAAAUAAAGAAAACCACUUUUGCAUACUCUAGAAGAUAAGAUACAAGUUUAUAGGAAUGAUAGCCAGGCUAUUCGUAUUAAUUAUGUUCUGACGAUUGUGCAGAACCAUGAAUAUGAGUAAGUUGUUUCUAGUAGACAUGCUAGGCAUGACCUAAGCUUUAAAGUUGGAUUUAUUAUAUGAUUCUCAUUAUUUGUUGAAUAUCUAAUUGCUCCCAUUUGGAAUGUGUAUGUUAUGUAUGUCAUGUGGUAUUUGGUAUUAAUUCAAGUUUUCUUCGAUGUUGCAAGGACAAAUUUGGAUUGUCGGUUCUGAAUUUUAACAGGCUUCUUAAGGCAUGUUAUUUUGGAAGGAUGUCUCAAAAUUGGACAGGUGCAACAUUUGCUGGACUUCAAGGUGGAAGAUAAUGAGACCUGGGAAGAAGAAAAAUACUCCUCGUAAGAUACUCCGCCAUUUCCCGUUAAAGCCUAGGCUUCAGUUUUGUGUUCUUUGUAUGUCUUCCAAAACUGCCAAGGACAUGAGAUGGUAAAGAAAGGCGCAUAUGGUUGUGCAUGAAACAACCUCACUUCAUCUAAUCUCUAGUGAUACCAGGUCCAAGUAGUCCAGGGAACGGUUGGUAUUGAUGUAUACUUGAGACCUUUGAUUGAAGAACUUAAAGAGCUAUGGGCAGAAAGGAUUGAUACUUAUGAUUCACUUAGAAAAAAGUCAUUCGUGAACCACGUGAUAGAGAGUGUCCUCCCACAUUCAGAGCCAUAGAAUUUUGAUCCUACCACACAGAUCCAAGGUUACACUGAAAGAUAUUGAGUUCAGGCUACACUGAAAGAUAUAUGUUGAUUAACUUUGGAAGUAAGGAAUCCAUCAGUGAUAAUUGAUGUAUUUUGUUAUUCCAUAUUCAAUAAAAAACUUCUCUUGAAACUUGUAUCUGGUACUAAAUACUUUAGUACUAAGUUUUUAUUUGUUUUUGUUGAAUGUAAUCAAUCACAUAACCUUGUAGUAUGUGUUUUUUUUAGUGAAUGGAUGUUUUAUUUUGA